UAGAUAAAUAAAUAAACAUUUAUUUAUUAAAUAGUCCAUUGAAAGUCCAGGCCUACUGUAGCUACCCAAAGCCCAAAUACAAAAACCCAUAUCCGGGUAUAACCCAAUAGCCAAAACAAUACCUAAUACCCCUGAGCUAAACCCAAACCCAAAUAAGACCCGUUACACCCAGCAGCCCGUUAGACUCAUUAUCCCUGCUAGCCUAAGUCAGACCUAACCCAUUACAUUACAGACCUUGGCCCAAAACAAAACAGCCCAAAAGGCCUAACAGACUUAAGAGAAACAGGGAAACCCUAGGGUUUCCUGAAUACUGUGACGCCGCAAACGUUUCUGAAAGCUUCAGGGAGUGUCUGCCAAUCCCCAAAUCGAGGCCACCGUUUAAUGAGUUGUCCCAAGGGCCUUCAAUGCUCAUCAACGCCCCGAUCAUCAGUCGUCCCUUGGUCUGGCCCCAAAUUACGUCAUGAAUGUCAUGACCGUCACCAAGGCUCCAUCAGCGCCGUGAUCAGUGCAUGCGUCUACACCAGCAUGGUCACUGCCGGAUCCCUCGCUCGAUUGCCUUCACAAAAAGGAAACAGACAGCAGAUAGCGAAAAAAACAGAGCAAAGAAUGGCAAGAAAAUCACAGCACAUCAGGAGACAUAGAAUAGAAAGAAAUCUUAGAUUUCUUUCCCUGAAUAUGUAAAGGACUAUAAAGCCUUUCUUUUCACUUGUAAAAGGGCAUGCACUGGAAUAUACACAGAGAAUCAAUAAAAACUAAAGAAUCAGCAAAAAAGUUUAUUUUCGCACAUAUACACGCAUCAAGCAUUUCAAUCGACUAAGUACUCAAAGGUGAUACUUUUAAAUACAUGUAUAAACUGUAAAUAAUGAAAAGGAGAAGGGUCGAACCUUUAUUUGCGUUGAAAAUCGGGGUUUGGACCUUCGACCACCGUACAGGAAGGAAUUGGUGACGGCACGUAGACGCGUGAGGCCGAGAACUAAGUUUCGGCUCGACGGAGGUCAGAACCCAACAUUCUCUCUCUCUCCUCUCAUUUCAGAGAGAAUUUUAAGUUUUUUUUUUUAAAAAACCGGUGUAAAAU
rnacentral:lncRNA from 1 species